UUGAAAAUAUCAACGAGAUAAAAUUUAAUCUUGAUCCUGCUUUUUAACAGUGUUGCGAAUAUCCUUCAGAAUUUUCUAGAUUCGAUCUCCUCGGGCUACUUAAUUUAAGCAAUUAAACCCGAUCACGACUUCAUCGAGCAUUCGUCAAAUUGCUUUUAACAAACGAAUCAAAUCGUUCACGUGAAAUAAAUUAUCCAUCGUUACUUUCGAAAUAAAAAAUAGAAUCGAAUUGUUGUUUGACUAAAUAAUUAAUGCAUUAAAACAGUUAUGCGUAACGAAUACAUUGAAUACAUUAAGAAAAAAAAAAAAUAAUCAGGAAUUAAUCAAUGAUUGAACGAUCUAUGUCUAUUAUCAAUAAUCUUCCAAUUUGCUUCUAAUUUUGCAUUAAUUUAUCACAUUUAUCGAGAGGAGUUUAUCAGGAAAAAUAAUUUUCAAACGUCUUAACCCGUUUUAUUAAUCACAAUUUGUGUAUCUUUUGAAUAGAUGUUGUUAUCAAUUACACGUGUAUGAUUACGAGUGAAUCUUCUUAUCCAGAUUUGUUGGCCAAAUUAAAAAAGAAUCUUAUUUUAAGUGACACUCUCGUAGAAUGGAAGAAUAAUGUAAAACAGCCAGAUUAAAAAUGAGAUUAGGUAAUAAUAUCGUAAUUGGGUAAUUGUCCCAAGAAAUUGGGUAACAAUCUGACAAUGUUAAAAUUGGUUAAUGAUCUUGAUAGAGAUAAGGAUAGAGAUCGAAGGAUAAAAAAUUAAGAAGAAAGGAGAGAAAAUUCGUUUUCCCUUUUGUGAAUCGUUCCAAUCAAACUAGCACACACACGUUUCACAUCGCGAACUGUAAUAAGCUUACGAUGACUUAAACUAAACUUUCGUUGUCUCUUCACAUUGCGCAAACUAAAAUAAUAAUACGCUCUGCUCUGAUCGCAUGAAUAAAAAUAUUUUAAACUUGAAAAGGAUACAAAAAAAAAAAGAAAAAAAAAAAUUGACUUUUCCAACAGCUAAACAUCAACAGUUUCGCAACAUCCCCUCGUUUCUUCCCCCUACCCUUAUUAAAUCGCCCGAUAUAUCGAUUCUCGGAGCAAUUAAAUAGACAUUAACUAUCUCAAUCCCGUAUUAACAUACAAUUAAAGUGAAUCCCUUUUCCCGUACGAGCUCACACUAAUCGACAGUCAUCAUCGUUCAGAGAGCAUCGAGCUCUUUCGAGCAAAUCUACCGCCUUUCUUGUUAGUUCGACGGAGACUCUUACAAGUGACGGUUCUGCGCCUCCAUCGAUCGCGAUCGAUCGAUCGAUCCAACUCGAUAUUUCCGGAACGAAUUCAGCAAAGAUCGAUCGAAAUGAGAAAUAUUGUGCGAUAUAUAUCCAUUUUUACGUAUCUGUAAAUUAUCGAAAGAAAUCGGGCUAGGAUUUAUUUAUCUUUAAAUUUUUAAUUAAUCGAGAAGAUUUGAAGAAAUUAAUUAAUUGCAAAGUUUUUAAUAUAUAUAUACACACACACAUAUAUAUAUAUAUAUAUGGAUUGUUUGUUCGGAGUGAAUAAAGAGUGUCGAAGGUGUGUAGAAGGAUAAAUUUAAAAAGUUUAAAAAACGUUACGUUAAUUUUGUGAAUUUUAUUGUUUAUCGUUUUCGAAGAUCCUUAUCGAAAUGGUGAUUGAUGUGACACGUGAGAUUCCGUGUGAAAAUAGUGAUAUUUUCGUAGGAAGAUAAAGACAAAAGUGGUGACGAAUUGCGUGAAAAGUAAUAUUAGAAGAUCGUAGGUGUACGUCGAAAAUUUGUUCGUGAGCGGAAAUUGGCAUAUUGAUUGGCGAUUUGUAAUUUAUUUAAUAGUGUUUUUCGUUUGGAAAAAUUCGAAUGGAAUUUUUUUUUUAACCUAAAAAAUAAAGGUUAAAGUCUAAUCAAUUUAACCGAUAUUUGAUCAUUUUUCUCGAUAAAAUUAUUCAAGUAGAAAUCAUCGAAAUGAUCUCUUUAAAUUUUCACUUGCAUGUUGACAAAUUAAAAUUAUCUGUAACACUUCCGGAUGUCGAUAUUUAUUCUGCUCGUCGAUCGUCGAUAAUUUCAAUGUGAUUAAUCACACGAGAAAGAAAAAAAGUAUUUCAAAAAUAAUUCUUUAUCGAUUGAAGUAACCUCGUGAAAAAAUUGGAAAGCAAUAAAGUAAUUUUCCAAAUCGUUUCGUUGUAAAAGAAUUAUCUAUCUAUACAAUUUACACGCGUUAAUCUAUAUAUAUAUAUAUAUAUAGCUAGGUUGUUGGGUAAAAAUGAUUAAUAAUAUAUCGGAUAGUGAAGUCCAAUUAUUAGAGGAAUGAAUAUAAUUUGAAUAAUUUUGAAAGCGAGCUCUAUUCUAUUCUUGCUUCAAAAAUACAAAAGGAAGGCUGACAAGACACCACAACCAGUCGUCAGAAUUGUCGAUCAUUAUUAUUCCACGGUUAUUUUCGAAAAAUCUCUAUGAAUGUCAUUGUACUAAAAUUUUUUUCUAACAAAUUAUUAUUGUAUCGAAACAACAACAACAACAACAAUAAUAAUAAUAAUACGUGCAGAGUGAUAAGAACGAAUGAUCAAGACGAUUCAAAACCUCAUCUUCCAAGCUUAAAAAAAAAGGAAUAUCGAUUACGUUAUGAAAAGUGAUUCAAUGAAAGGAAGAAACAAUUAGUGUGGAAGUAAAAGUGUAUAAAAUACAUAAAAUAAAAUUAAAAUAAUUAAAAAUUUCAGCGCACAUGACACGUGAAACACCCUCUUAAAAUAUUCCAAGAGCGAGCAAAUUAUCUACGAAUAUUGAAUUAAAUAAGAGAUAUUUCCCCCAAUCAUGGAUUCGAUACGAGAUCUAAAACGAUUGCUGUACGAGAGGACGAUGGCGCUUCGACGUCGCGACGAGGUGAUCGAGAUGCUCGAAAAAGCUUUGGAAGAACGAGAUAUUACUAUUCGAUAUCUUCGCAACGAGAUCGACAAGUUCCGGCAGAUCGUCGAUUUCAGCUUGGCCUC